UUGUUCAUCAACAACGCUUCCCCCAAAUUCUCACCUUUAACCCUUUCCCCCAAAUUCUCACCUUUAACCCUUUCCCUCAAACUUGUUCAUCAGCCAGCUCAUAAACCCAAAUUUACCCCAAGCUCAUGAAUCGAAAAUCUGAAAUUUGUAUCUCGGCUGGUCUCGCAAAUCUAAAAUCACAUACGCAUCUUCGAUCUCGGAAUCUCAAAUAUGAAAUUCCCAUCUAGGAACUUUGGUAUGGCAGAUCUGGUAUCGCAAACGCAUGUCGAAUCUCUGAAAUCGAUUCUGAGGAUAAUCUCAAAUUAGUUGAUUUUGGUGGUUCGACGAUGGCGAGAAAAUGACGAGUUGUCGGAACGCCGUGUUACGUGGCGCCAGAGGUUCUGUUAGGAAGAUAUUAUACCGAGAAAGUUGAUGUGUGGAGUUGUGUUCUGUUUGGUACAUAAUGUUGAGCAGGAUUCCUCCUUUUUACGGUGAUUCUACGUAUGAGGUUUUUGAAGUGGUUAUUACGGCGUAUCUCAGGUUUCCUUCUCGAAUACUCUGUUCUGUUUAUUCUUCUGCUAAGGAUUUGUUAAGAAAAUGAUGUGUAGAGAUGAUUCUAGAAGAUUUUCAACGGACAAGCUUUGAGCUGCAUCUGGUGCUGUGCAAUUCCAGAUGUUGGAUAUGACAUAUCCAGGGGUUGUGCCGAUGUACAAGGUGAAUUUUGAUGCUAAGACAGAGUAUGAUAUGAUUCAAAACUAUAAAGUUCUACAGAUGCGUUUUAACAAGCUGAAAAUUGCAAAGGCACCUCAAUCACGUAGACAACUAAUGACUCUUACAAUGGUGAAACUUUUGGAUCUUUGGAAUCUACAAGUGAGGGCAGGGGAGAAGAGGAAAGAAAGAUGACAGAGAACUUGAUAUAGUCCUCUUGCUUGUAGUUUUUUUUGGUGGCAAAGGAGUUAUGGAAAAUGUGCUUGUAGUUAAUCUUGGUUUAUCAUUAUAGAAUUUCUUUCAGAUGUGUUUUAGCUGCAAGCUGUUAAAGUAUUAAGUUGUGCCAACAUUGUGUAAUAGCAUAGAUUUUUGGAUUUAUUUGAAGUCAUUGGACUAGGUUAGGUGUAGAUCAAUUUCUGUAGUAAGUGCGAAUUCAUGACAAGGUUUAGAUUUUGUGGAUGGUUUUAUCUACAAGUUGGUAUGAAAUUAAAGUUCUAUGUUGAUAUUUUGUGUUAAA